rnacentral:miRNA from 1 species
UCGCGGGGUUUUGCAGAGGACU